UGACAAAUGUAGUUUAAGGGACCAGGGUAGAAAGAGAAGUCACAGUCCUUGCUACAAAGAGUGUACAAUCGGAAUGAGAAGAUCAAGCUUUCUUUUUUAUUAUUUUUGAGACAGUCUGGCUCUGUGGCUUAGGUUGGAGUGCAGUGGCACCAUCUCGGCUCACUGCAACCUCUGCCUCCUGGGUUCAAGAGAUUCAUAUACCUCAGCCUCCUGAGGAGCUGGGAUUACAGGUGCAUGCCACCACACCCAAUUAAUUUUUUGUAUUUUUAUCAGAGACAGGGUUUCACUAUGCUGGCCAGGCUUGUCUUGAACUCCUGGCCUCAAGUGAUCCACCCUCGUCGUCCUCCCAAAGGAUUACAGGCAUGAAACCACUGUGCCUGGCCCAAGCUUCCCUUUUGAAGUCAAGCUCAUGGGCCAUGACUAGCUCUUUUCAGCAGUGGCUUGGGGGUCUGAAAACAAUCACUGGACUAUUUGAAACUCUUCACCACCUUCCAGGAUUCCUGAACGUUUAGGGGCAGCAUUUAUUAAGGAAUAAGGGAAGAAACACCUCCAGGCUCACCUUCAGAGUGAAGACCAGGCACUGAAAGUGGACUCCUCCUGAAGACACAUCCACAGCACUGCAGUAACACUAUGAGGUCAUGUGUUUACCAUACCAUUGUUCCAUCGCCAUGGAGAUGAUGAGCGACAAAGCACUGGCAAGAAGCCUCCCAUGCAGGAUGAAGCCAAGGAAGAAGAGAAGAGAGGAAGGACACGCCCAUUAACCAAAGGACCCAAAACAUAUCUCAAGGAGCUCAUGAAGUCAUCCUCAUGCACACAGUUUCCCAGGUGUCAGAUCUGUUUGGGCCACAAACCUAAGAAGAACAUCAUGUGAGGAUGAAGGCAGAGAGCAGGGUGAUGCAGCUGAAGCCAAGGACACUGAAGACUUCCUGCAAACCCCCAGAAGCUGGGGCAGAGGCCCUCCAGUCUCCAGAAGAGGCCAACCAUGCUGAUACCUUGACCUUGGACUCCUAGCCCCAGAACUAUGAG
rnacentral:lncRNA from 1 species